GCUAGUGUAGCUUAAACAAAGCAUAACACUGAAGAUGUUAAGAUGGACCCUAGAAAGUUCCACAAGCA
rnacentral:tRNA from 1 species